AUUGAACGCUGGCGGCAGGCCUAACACAUGCAAGUCGAACGGUAACAGGAAGAAGCUUGCUUCUUUGCUGACGAGUGGCGGACGGGUGAGUAAUGUCUGGGAAACUGCCUGAUGGAAGGGGAUAACUACUGGAAACGGUAGCUAAUACCGCAUAACGUCGCAAAACCAAAGAGGGGGACCUUCGGGCCUCUUGCCAUCGGAUGUGCCCAGAUGGGAUUAGCUAGUAGGUGGGGUAACGGCUCACCUAGGCGACGAUCCCUAGCUGGUCUGAGAGGAUGACCAGCCACACUGGAACUGAGACACGGUCCAGACUCCUACGGGAGGCAGCAGUGGGGAAUAUUGCACAAUGGGCGCAAGCCUGAUGCAGCCAUGCCGCGUGUAUGAAGAAGGCCUUCGGGUUGUAAAGUACUUUCAGCGGGGAGGAAGGGAGUAAAGUUAAUACCUUUGCUCAUUGACGUUACCCGCAGAAGAAGCACCGGCUAACUCCGUG
rnacentral:rRNA from 1 species